UGCGCGGGAAUAUUAGCGACAAUGGGCGAAACCCUGAUCCAGCCAUGCCGCGUGUGUGAAGAAGGCCUGCGGGUUGUAAAGCACUUUCCGUUGGGAAGAAAAAAGACGGGCCCAUACCGGCGGGUCUUGACGUUACCUACGCAAGAAGCACCGGCUAAAUCCGUGCCAGCAGCCGC
rnacentral:rRNA from 1 species